rnacentral:rRNA from 1 species
CCUACGGGUGGCAGCAGUGGGGAAUAUUGGACAAUGGGGGCAACCCUGAUCCAGCCAUGCCGCGUGUGUGAAGAAGGCCCUCGGGUUGUAAAGCACUUUCAGUGAGGAAGAACGCCUGGUGGUUAAUACCCAUCAGGAAAGACAUCACUCACAGAAGAAGCACCGGCUAACUCCGUGCCAGCAGCCGCGGUAAUACGGAGGGUGCGAGCGUUAAUCGGAAUUACUGGGCGUAAAGCGCGCGUAGGUGGCUUGAUAAGCCGGUUGUGAAAGCCCCGGGCUCAACCUGGGAACGGCAUCCGGAACUGUCAAGCUAGAGUGCAGGAGAGGAAGGUAGAAUUCCCGGUGUAGCGGUGAAAUGCGUAGAGAUCGGGAGGAAUACCAGUGGCAAAGGCGGCCUUCUGGACUGACACUGACACUGAGGUGCGAAAGCGUGGGUAGCAAACAGGAUUAGAUACCCUUGUAGUC